GUAGGCAGCCUUCGGGUGCGGUCCAAAUUAUGUAAUAACUAUUUUUUGUUUGUUUUAAAUUCUUUUUGUUUGUUUUUCAAUUCACAUUUGCAUUUCACUUGGCUUUUGGAUUUUUGUCAUUUGAGCAAUAUUGUGUAAUAAGGAAUUGAUGUUAUUGUCCUUAAGAAGUCAUCCUAUGACCCAUAUUCUUUAUUGUUAUCAAAUGUAAGAAUUCAUCUUAAGGCCCCG
rnacentral:misc_RNA from 1 species